rnacentral:rRNA from 1 species
UUAGGAAAUUUUCCCAAUGGGCGCAAGCCUGAGGGAGUAACGCCGCGUGGAGGAUGACGGCUUUCGGGUUGUAAACUCCUUUUCUGCGGGAAGAGUAGAAGACGGUACCGCAGGAAGAAGCCUCGGCUAACUACGUGCCAGCAGCCGCGGUAAUACGUAGGAGGCGAGCGUUGUCCGGAAUUACUGGGCGUAAAGAGCGCGUAGGCGGCGCUGUACGAUCGGUGUGAAAGCCCCCGGGCUCAACUGGGGAGGGUCACGGAUAACGGCAGUGCUACAAGAGUGCAGGAGAGGGACGUGGAACUCCGGGAGUAGCGGUGAAAUGCGUAGAGACCCGGAGGAACACCAGUGGCGAAGGCGGCGUCCUGGCCUGCGACUGACGCUGUGGCGCGAAAGCUAGGGGAGCGAACGGGAUUAGAUACCCCGGUAGUCCUAGCCGUAAACGAUGGACACUAGGUGUGCGAGGUAUCGACCCCUCGCGUGCCGGCGCUAACGCAGUAAGUGUCCCGCCUGGGGAGUACGGCCGCAAGGCUAAAACUC